GAUGAACGCUGGCGGCGUGCCUAAUACAUGCAAGUCGAGCGAACAGAUGAGGAGCUUGCUCCUCUGACGUUAGCGGCGGACGGGUGAGUAACACGUGGAUAACCUACCUAUAAGACUGGGAUAACUUCGGGAAACCGGAGCUAAUACCGGAUAAUAUAUUGAACCGCAUGGUUCAAUAGUGAAAGACGGUUUUGCUGUCACUUAUAGAUGGAUCCGCGCCGCAUUAGCUAGUUGGUAAGGUAACGGCUUACCAAGGCAACGAUGCGUAGCCGACCUGAGGGGGUGAUCGGCAACACUGGAACUGAGACACGGUCCAGACUCCUACGGGAGGCAGCAGUAGGGAAUCUUCCGCAAUGGGCGAAAGCCUGACGGAGCAACGCCGCGUGAGUGAUGAAGGUCUUCGGAUCGUAAAACUCUGUUAUUAGGGAAGAACAAAUGUGUAAGUAACUAUGCACGUCUUGACGGUACCUAAUCAGAAAGCCACGGCUAACUACGUG
rnacentral:rRNA from 1 species